rnacentral:rRNA from 1 species
AACGUAGGAGCCAAGCGUUAUCCGAAUUCACUGGGCGUAAAGCGCGUGCAGGCGGUCUGGUAAGUUGGGUGUGAAAUCUCCUGGCUCAACUGGGAGAGGACGUUCAAUACUGUCAGACUCGAGGGCGGUAGAGGGAGGUGGAAUUCCCGGUGUAGUGGUGAAAUGCGUAGAUAUCGGGAGGAACACCAGUGGCGAAAGCGGCCUCCUGGACCGCACCUGACGCUCAGACGCGAAAGCUAGGGGAGCAAACGGG